rnacentral:rRNA from 1 species
GAUGAACGCUAGCGGCAGGCUUAAUACAUGCAAGUCGAGGGACAGCACAGGUAGCAAUACUGGGUGGUAACCGGCAAACGGGUGCGGAACACGUACACAACCUUCCUUUAAGUGGGGGAUGGCCCAGAGAAAUUUGGAUUAAUACCCCGUAAUAUAGUUGAAUGGCAUCAUUUGAUUAUUAUAGCUACGGCGCUUAAUGAUGGGUGUGCGGCUGAUUAGAUAGUUGGCGGGGUAACGGUCCACCAAGUCUACGAUCAGUAGCUGAUGUGAGAGCAUGAUCAGCCACACGGGCACGGAGACACGGGCCCGACUCCUACGGGAGGCAGCAGUAAGGAAUAUUGGUCAAUGGACGCAAGUCUGAACCAGCCAUGCCGCGCGAAGGAUUAAGGUCCUCUGGAUUGUAAACUUCUUUUAUUUGGGACGAAAAAGGGUCUUUCUAGGUCAACUGACGGUACCAGAUGAAUAAGCACCGGCUAACUCCGUGCCAGCCGCCGCAGUAA